UACGUAGGGCGCAAGCGUUGUCCGGAAUUAUUGGGCGUAAAGAGCUCGUAGGCGGUUUGUCGCGUCGGCUGUGAAAACCUGGGGCUCAACCCCGGGCCUGCAGCCGAUACGGGCAAACUAGAAUUCGGUAGGGGAGACUGGAAUUCCUGGUGUAGCGGUGAAAUGCGCAGAUAUCAGGAGGAACACCGGUGGCGAAGGCGGGUCUCUGGGCCGAUAUUGACGCUGAGGAGCGAAAGCGUGGGGGAGCAAACAGG
rnacentral:rRNA from 1 species